rnacentral:lncRNA from 1 species
CAGCACAAACAAUGCGAAAAAACAGUUACUCUAUUCAUUAAAAGCUGUAACUUCCAGAUUGGACUUGAGAAGCAAUUAAGCAACAGAGGCACCUCAUGCAUGCUCAUGAGAACACGCUGCUCCAGCUGGACUUAGAGGAACCCAGUGCAUCAAAGGCAUUCCUGACAGAGUCUCGUGGUCCUGCUGGUCCACUCACUGGUACCCAG